UGGGGAAUAUUGGACAAUGGGCGAAAGCCUGAUCCAGCCAUGCCGCGUGUGUGAAGAAGGUCUUCGGAUUGUAAAGCACUUUAAGUUGGGAGGAAGGGCAUUAACCUAAUACGUUAGUGUUUUGACGUUACCGACAGAAUAAGCACCGGCUAACUCUGUGCCAGCAGCCGCGGUAAUACAGAGGGUGCAAGCGUUAAUCGGAAUUACUGGGCGUAAAGCGCGCGUAGGUGGUCUGUUAAGUUGGAUGUGAAAUCCCCGGGCUCAACCUGGGAACUGCAUUCAAAACUGACUGACUAGAGUAUGGUAGAGGGUGGUGGAAUUUCCUGUGUAGCGGUGAAAUGCGUAGAUAUAGGAAGGAACGCCAGUGGCGAAGGCGACCACCUGGACUAAUACUGACACUGAGGUGCGAAAGCGUGGGGAGCAAACA
rnacentral:rRNA from 1 species